GCUGGAUGGGGGCAGUGGGGAACUGGCUCCCUCUCUCAGCCAUCUCCCCUGGCCUGUCUCUCCAACCAGGUCCUAAGUUCUGUGACACAGGUGACACAGAUUGGGGACAGCUGAGAGGGCAAGGUGAGCCAUCAAGGGUCCAAAAGAUCAUCUCUUCCCUCUUUUCCAGGACAUCGAUUUGGAAAGCCUUGGGGUGCUGUGAGGAGUGGCUUACCCAGCCGCUGAGCCCUGUUCCCUGUGCCAGUGCCCCAGAAACGGGCCCAACCCCCAGCUCUCCUGGCAUGGAUUCAGGCUCCGUUCCACAUCACUCCUUUAGGCGUAAAAGACACCGGGGCCAGCAGCUAGCAGAGGGAGAGACGCAUCUCCUGGAAGUCGAUCCGAUCAGAACUCCAUUCUAUGGUCCCAGAGCUUCACGUGGCCGUGGUUUGCACAGAGGCAGCCGGAAGACAGGAUGGCAUCCUGAGCGGUGGGGGAGCGAUAGGUGCCAGCCAGCAGCAGGACCCUGGGACCGUGAGAGGCCCCCAGGCGGUAAGGGACAAGGGCUUCAGCCACAGGACACCAGUGCA
rnacentral:lncRNA from 1 species